CAGGCUGGUAUGGCCGUAAGCGAAGCUUACAUGACCUGGUUUUCCCAGGCGGUCUCCCGUCCAAGUACUGACCAGGCCCGACCCUGCUUGGCUUCCGAGAUCGGACGAGAUCGGGCGUA
rnacentral:rRNA from 1 species